UUUUUCUUCUUCUUCUUCUUCUUCUUACAUUGCGCACUCACUCUCACCCUCUGUUCAGCAUCUCACAAAUACACUAAACAGUCCUAAAUCUAAAAGGUAUUAAAUAACGAACUAUUCUUCUCUCUCUAUCUACCCAGUACAUUUUCCUCUCUAACUACAACUGCUUCCUAAGUUUUUCAUCUAAAGAAAGAACAAAUCAUUUUCCUUCAGUUCCUAGUGCUUCAGGACAGAAUCAACGGCUAAAUCACCAAAUGAUUCUAUCAUUGAGCUUCUUUUGCUUCCACAAAUGGCGAUUGAACACUAUCUGCAUCAGAAUCACUACCUGAUGAACUCCCACCUGACCCUGAAUCUGCCAGACCAUUACAAUGUUAGAGAUGACACAAGAAAAGGAGAAAACUUGUAGCAAGGAGAAAAGGGAAUGAGCAAAUAUACCACUAGACGAGGAACUACCACCACUAGAACUGGAACUGCCUGAAGAACUAGACCCACUACCUGCAACUGCAGUACCAUCUCUUUCGAUCUCUACAGAUGGGUAAUCUUCGAUUGGUAUGUCUUCUCCAAUGUCUACAUCCUCUUCCCCUGCAUCUCCUCUCCUUGUUCUCUUCUCCGCACUACCCAUUUCUGCUACCGAAGUCUAAGAGAGACAGGAAGAAAACAAUUUUAAGUAAUGAAACCACAGUGAUCAAAUGGUGGUUUUGAUAGGGCGGCAGUGCAAAUAUGCUUACCAUGUUCCUAGGUGGAGUUGACACGUUCCUGAUAAACCCUUGCCGCUUGAUUUUGCUAGCCAUCUUCUUGUAAUUCGUCACAAAACGAUCAAGCUCCCAUAGAGUCUCGUUGUCGACAGCUUCUAUAUCUAGCUCAAUUUCGUCACCAUCUUGAGCUAAAUGACCGUUUCUCUUCCUGAGAAUCUGAACCAACUGUCCAAGCUUCUCAGGAGGUAAGUCUUGUAGAUUCAUACCAAGCUUUGACUUCUCCUCCAUUGUCAUCAACCUCUUAUUUGGAUCCUUAGCCUUAGGCUUCGGCAACUUCCCCUUCCUUCCUUUUGUCACGUCACUCACAUCAGGAGGUGCUUCUACUUCAAUAACCAGCUGCGGAAGUUGAGGCUCAACCACCGGAGGAGGAGGAGGAGGUGGUGGAGAAGGAGAUUGAACACGCGACGGCUCGACUAAUUGAGGAGGCAAUGCAGGUAGUGGCGGCUUCACUGAAUCAAGCUUCUUCGCGAUAGAUAUUUGUUCGGUUCCUUUCCUAGGAUUUGCCACCAUUGGCGAAUUCUGAUUCCAAUGUCUUUGCUUGACCUCAGGUUCAAGACGAGAUGAAGAACCAGUGAGUUUAAGCUGCUGAGCCUCAAACUUCUUAAAAGCAGGAUUGAACAUUCCAUCGAAAUGAUCCAAAAGCUUAUCAGCCAUAAAAUACACAUC
rnacentral:lncRNA from 1 species